GCCUCUAGGUGGAUGCUGCAGUGUACCCAAGAGCCUCUAGGUGGAUGCUGCAGUCUACCCAAGAGCCUCUAGGUGGAUGCUGCAGUGUACCCAAGAGCCUCUAGGUGGAUGCUGCAGUCUACCCAAGAGCCUCUAGGUGGAUGCUGCAGUCUACCCAAGAGCCUCUAGGUGGAUGCUGCAGUGUACCCAAGAGCCUCUAGGUGGAUGCUGCAGGGUACCCAAGAGCCUCUAGGUGGAUGCUGCAGUCUACCCAAGAGCCUCUAGGUGGAUGCUGCAGUCUACCCAAGAGCCUCUAGGUGGAUGCUGCAGUGUACCCAAGAG